AUUUAAUUGUUGAUCGUGGGGCCAAUGUCCGGUGUGAAAUAGCAUCGGGAUCGUAAUACUGGAACGCCAUUUGUAUGACGUCCGUGGCGGGAAAUGAGAGGUUGUUCAGGGCUAGUGAGACGAUGUUUAAUCAGCCACAUGAUACUAUUUAUAGGAGUAGUCUCCCCUGUUAAGGAACAUCCAUAAUAAACAUUGCUGGAUACUGCCUGGACAUCAACAGAGAGUUUUGACGCUGUAUUUCUACCAAUCACCACUGUAACCUUUGUUAUGUUUCGCAGACAGGUGCACGUGACGCAACUUCCUGGAUGGUGUGUAGGCUGUUCGUCAACAUCUGAAACCCACGUGUAUUUCAGGAUGAUGAGCCACUCUACAUCCUUUUACAACAGGUGUCCAUACAGAUUCCCAAAGAUCCAAUGUUGAGUAUCCGCAAGCCUUAAUCAAUGAGUACAGUUUUUAUGUAUUCUACUUUCAAAAAAAUUCUACCCAUGACAGGAAAAGCUGUCAAGUUGAAAGGACUUUCCACACUGUUCCAGGUAUCAGUUUAGAAUAGAACAGUCAGCAGUAGACAUAGCCAGCUUCAUCAAA